rnacentral:rRNA from 1 species
UACGUAGGGGGCAAGCGUUGUCCGGAUUUAUUGGGCGUAAAGAGCUCGUAGGCGGUCUGUCGCGUCGGCUGUGAAAACCCGAGGCUCAACCUCGGGCCUGCAGUCGAUACGGGCAAACUAGAGUACUGCAGGGGAGACUGGAAUUCCUGGUGUAGCGGUGAAAUGCGCAGAUAUCAGGAGGAACACCAAUAGCGAAGGCAGCUCGCUGGGACGUUACUGACACUGAGGCGCGAAAGCGUGGGGAGCGAACAGG